rnacentral:lncRNA from 1 species
CAAGUGAUUCUCCUGCCUCAGCCUCCCGAGUAGCUGGGAUUACAGUACAUUAUCCACCUGAAUUGAAGAAGCAGAACCAGCCAGAAGAGGAAACACUGUAAUAAAAUUAAGAUCUGGACUCUAAUUCUGUUUUAUUUUCUCAACGUAUAAACCAUGAGUAAAUUGUUAAUCUUAAAAGAAAAUGUUUUUCUUCCAUUGUUCCUUUGUAAAGUGGACAUGAUCACACCUGUGUUCAGAAGGAACUGAUUCAGAGCUUGGUGCUGAAGGUAACAAAGCUAUCUGUGUUUGAUCAAGAUUCAAACCCUCAAUGUCUGAGAAAAGCAUCAUAUUCUUUAUCCAAGUGGACUUUGUAUAGAUGCAACAAAAUAUUCAUUCAAAUAUUUUCUAAAGUGCCAGGUCGCUUGAAGUUUACUUAUACUACUAUAGAUUUUAAGCUGCAUUUCACUGUAGAUAAUGCAAAGACAAUUAAAAGAACAGACAAUAAGCAGAUAAAGAGGCAUUAUUUUAUUACUAUGAAAGUUAAUAUGUCAUUUGUCACUGAAAUAGACAUGUCUUUAAUUUGCUUGGCAAAAGAGUGAGUAUAAGGUCUGAAUGUUUAAUCUCCCUAAAGUGUUCAUCACAUUGCAACAGAUUUAAUCUAUUCUCCAUCCAGAAAGACCACCUACAAACAAAGCAAUUACAAUUUGUUGUUUUACAGAUAAUAAAAUAAUUAGGUAUGCCAAGCAUAGGAAAGUAUGUAAUUUUACUGCCGUUUGUAAAAGAUGAUUAGAAGGAAUGCUCCACGGGCACUUCAGAAUUAAUUGAGAGGAACCAGGUACAGAUUUGAUUACUGGUAAUGCUUUUUGGAAGAAUCAGGAAUUUAGAAGCUAUUAAUAAUGAUUGUAAAGAUAAAGUUGGAGAAAGACGUGUUACAGAUGGGAAAAAGUUAUUGUUUUGCAGGGAAGAGUACAGAAUCACCCUUUAUGAUGCUUUGAAAUUCAGUCUAUCUUUGGUUUGGUAUAGAAAUUUGCAGAAAAUAGGUAACUAAAGAUACAUCAUAAGCAGGUUAACAAAUAAUGAUGAAACUGAAAAAACAUUUAUAAUGCUAAUAUUAUAACAACAACAAUUAUUAAUAUGGAGAAAACUACCAAAAGAGGCUGAAAUAUAAGGAGACAUCUUUUUUGGCUUAUUUUGUUUUUGUGUAAUGACCUGAACAAAUUCUCUUUGUAAUUUAAGUAGAAAUAAAAGCUUUAAAACCCUCUGAGGAUAUUUUAGUAGAAUCCUUCAAUGUCCUCCAAAAUCCAUUCUUUAUAGGCAGUAACAGUAUUAAAAAAAAUCAGUUUUCUAGCUUGAAAUACCUAUGGUAAUACUGUGGAUUAUUUUUAGUCAAUUCUAACUGAUGUUAUUUUUGAGAACAUAAAAGAAGUUUAUUGUGUGAUAAAAUUGGAAACCACAAGAUAUGUAUUAUGUCAGAAAGUGAUGGCAGAUAAAUGUCUGAUAAGAAUAUCUAUUAUAAAGGGAGAUGGAACUGAAAUAUAAU